rnacentral:rRNA from 1 species
GAAUAUUGCGCAAUGGGGGAAACCCUGACGCAGCAACGCCGCGUGGAGGAUGAAGGCCUUCGGGUCGUAAACUCCUGUCAGGUGGGAAGAAUAGGCUGCAGCAAACAACUGCAGCUGUUGACGGUACCACCAGAGGAAGCCCCGGCUAACUCCGUGCCAGCAGCCGCGGUAAUACGGAGGGGGCAAGCGUUAUUCGGAAUCAUUGGGCGUAAAGGGCGCGUAGGCGGCUUGGCAAGUCAAAGGUGAAAUCCCUCGGCCUAACCGAGGAACUGCCUUUGAAACUGCUUGGCUCGAGGCCGGGAGAGGGUAGCGGAAUUCCCAGUGUAGCGGUGAAAUGCGUAGAUAUUGGGAGGAACACCAGUGGCGAAGGCGGCUACCUGGACCGGUUCUGACGCUGAGGCGCGAAAGCGUGGGGAGCAAACAGG